GAUGAACGCUGGCGGCGUGCCUAAUACAUGCAAGUCGAGCGAAUGGAUUAAGAGCUUGCUCUUAUGAAGUUAGCGGCGGACGGGUGAGUAACGCGUGGGUAACCUGCCCAUAAGACUGGGAUAACUCCGGGAAACCGGGGCUAAUACCGGAUAACAUUUUGAACCGCAUGGUUCGAAAUUGAAAGGCGGCUUCGGCUGUCACUUAUGGAUGGACCCGCGUCGCAUUAGCUAGGUGGUGAGGUAACGGCUCACCAAGGCAACGAUGCGUAGCCGACCUGGGAGGGUGAUCGGCCACGCUGGGACUGAGACACGGCCCAGACUCCUGCGGGAGGCAGCAGUAGGGAAUCUUCCGCAAUGGACGAAAGUCUGACGGAGCAACGCCGCGUGAGUGAUGAAGGCUUUCGGGUCGUAAAACUCUGUUGUUAGGGAAGAACAAGUGCUAGUUGAAUAAGCUGACACCUUGACGGUACCUAACCAGAAAGCCACGGCUAACUACGUGCCAGCCGCCGCUGUAA
rnacentral:rRNA from 1 species